UACGGAGGGUGCAAGCGUUAUCCGGAUUCACUGGGUUUAAAGGGUGCGUAGGCGGGCAGGUAAGUCAGUGGUGAAAUCUAGAGCUUAACUCUAGAACUGCCAUUGAUACUAUCUGUCUUGAAUAUUGUGGAGGUAAGCGGAAUAUGUCAUGUAGCGGUGAAAUGCUUAGAUAUGACAUAGAACACCUAUUGCGAAGGCAG
rnacentral:rRNA from 1 species